rnacentral:tRNA from 1 species
GGUUUCAUGGUGUAGUUGGUUAUCACGUCAGUCUAACACACUAAAGGUCCCGGUUAAAGUCCGGGCGAAGCCA